AGUGAACGCUGGCGGUAGGCCUAACACAUGCAAGUCGAACGGCAGCACAGUAAGAGCUUGCUCUUACGGGUGGCGAGUGGCGGACGGGUGAGGAAUACAUCGGAAUCUACUUUUUCGUGGGGGAUAACGUAGGGAAACUUACGCUAAUACCGCAUACGACCUACGGGUGAAAGCAGGGGAUCUUCGGACCUUGCGCGAUUGAAUGAGCCGAUGUCGGAUUAGCUAGUUGGCGGGGUAAAGGCCCACCAAGGCGACGAUCCGUAGCUGGUCUGAGAGGAUGAUCAGCCACACUGGAACUGAGACACGGUCCAGACUCCUACGGGAGGUAGCAGUGGGGAAUAUUGGACAAUGGGCGCAAGCCUGAUCCAGCCAUACCGCGUGGGUGAAGAAGGCCUUCGGGUUGUAAAGCCCUCUUGUUGGGAAAGAAAAGCAGCAGGUUAAUACCCCGCUGUUCUGACGGUACCCAAAGAAUAAGCACCGGCUAACUUCGUG
rnacentral:rRNA from 1 species